CGCCAGCAGCCGCGGUAAAACGUAGGAGGCGAGCGUUAUCCGGAUUUACUGGGUGUAAAGCGUGUGCAGGCGGUAUGGCAAGUUGGAUGUGAAAGCUCCUGGCUUAACUGGGAGAGGUCGUUCAAAACUGCCAGACUUGAGUGUGGGAGAGGGAGGCGGAAUUCCGGGUGUAGUGGUGAAAUGCGUAGAUAUCCGGAGGAACACCAGUGGCGAAAGCGGCCUCCUGGCCCAAGACUGACGCUCAGACACGAAAGCUAGGGGAGCGAACGGGAUUAGAGACCCCGGUAGUCCUAGCUGUAAACGAUGUGAACUUGGCGUCGGCGGGUUUAAAUCCGUCGGUGCCGAAGCUAACGCGAUAAGUUCACCACCUGGGGACUACGGCCGCAAGGUUAAAACUUAAAGGAAUUGGCGGGGGAC
rnacentral:rRNA from 1 species